GUACCGAUUUUGUGAAACAACAUGAUGGGAAAGUAACCGAAGAAGCUAAACAACUCAAAGCCAAUGUGGCCGAACCAACAAAAAGUUAAAAUAUAGAAAAGGCGAUAUUUCCAUUGUUUCUUGGUCUUGAUUAAAUUAUUUUGUUUAUAAACCGG
rnacentral:lncRNA from 1 species